rnacentral:rRNA from 1 species
CCUACGGGAGGCUGCAGUGGGGGAUAUUGCACAAUGGGGGGAACCCUGAUGCAGCGACGCCGCGUGGGUGAAGAAGCGCCUCGGCGCGUAAAGCCCUGUCAGUAGGGAAGAAAAUGACAGGACCUGAAGAAGAAGCCCCGGCUAACUACGUGCCAGCAGCCGCGGUAAUACGUCGGGGGCAAGCGUUAUCCGGAUUUACUGGGUGUAAAGGGGGCGCAGGCGGGGAGGCAAGCCAGGAGUGAAAGCCCGGGGCCCAACCCCGGGACUGCUCUUGGAACUGCGUGGCUGGAGUGCAGGAGGGGUAGGCGGAAUUCCUGGUGUAGCGGUGAAAUGCGUAGAUAUUAGGAGGAACACCAGUGGCGAAGGCGGCCUACUGGACGGUGACUGACGCUGAGGCUCGAAAGCGUGGGGAGCAAACAGGAUUAGAUACCCGGGUAGUC